CCAGAGAGCUAGGAUUACAGGCGUGAGCCACUGCGCCCGCCUACAAAAUAAUUUUAAUGUACAACUCUCUUACUGUUCUGCUCAUCUGUCUUUUAUAAGAAAAUAAUUUAAGUCUUUUACCCUUCAUUUGCUUGGGAUGACAGGGAAUGUAAGACUUUCAAAACAAAGUUAAGUUUAUAAAUCUAACCUUUGGCACCAUCUGUAUCUACUUUGAAAUAGAUAUUAAUGGAUUUCUGGGCCAAACUAUAAUACUAUUAUGAAAAUAGGCUGAAUACUCUUCCUUUAAAAACUCAUCUUUUCUCUCAGUCCAUGCCACUGGUCACGCCACCCAUGCAGUGUCUGCUGCCACCAUGGGAAUGCAGGUGGAGACCAUCUCCCCAGGAGACGGGUGCACCUCCCCAAAGCACAGCUGGACCUGCAUAGUGCACUACACCAGGAUACUUGAAGGUGGAAAGAAAUUUGAUUCCUCCCGGGACAGAAACAAGCCCUUUAAGUUUAUGCUAGGUGAGCAGGAGGUGAUCCAAGGCUGGGAAGAAAGGGUUGCCCAGAUGCGUGUGGGUCAGACAAACUGACUAUAUCUCCAGACUGUGCAUAUGGUGCUGUUGGGCACCCAGGCAUCAUCCCACCACAUGCUACUUUCAUCUUUGACGUGGAGCUUCUGAAACUUGAAUGACAAGAAUGUCUUCCUUCCUUAGCUCCCUGUUCUUGGAAUCUGCCACAUGGAGAGGUCUGGUGUUUCCAGACGUGUGCACAGAAAUCCAUAUGGAGCUUUUCCUGAUGUUCCAGUACACUCUGUAUAAACAUCUACCCCAACUAAAUGUGUUCUAUCACUCACCUUUGCUUCUGACACCUCCAUUUCCUCUUCCCCUCUCUCCUUGUAUGUGUGUUUACCUAAACUAUAUGCUGUAAACCUCAAGUUACUCAUUUUAUUUUGUUUUCAUUUUGGGAUGAAGAUUCAGUUUCAGUCUUUUGGACCUGGGUUUCCAAUUAAGUAUAUGGUCAAGUAUUAACAGCAGAAGUUAUGGGGUAAUUUUAGAAUAGGAAUUGGUAUUUUGGGGGGAUUGCAAGAAUAUUUUUUUUUUGGAUGAAAUUUUUAUCUGUUAUAUAUUAAACAUUCUUACUGCUGCGCUGCAAAGCCAUAGCAGAUUUGAGGUGCUGUUGAGGGCUGAAUUAUUCUGUAAGUUGAGAGAUGUCCUUGUUUAAAUUAAAAGCCCUACCCAAAACUAAAGUGGGGAGGGGGAGAGCCUUUGCCUCCACUACCCCCACCUCAACCUCCCCUUAAACCCUCUGCCAUUUUUUUUUUUUUUUUUGGAGAUAGAGUCUCA